rnacentral:misc_RNA from 1 species
AAAAAGGGGGCUUUUAAUUCUGAUGAAUUUAUGAAUUCCAUGGUGUUGUUUUUCUAUGUAGUGGCAUGGGAAAGGCUUUGGCUUUGACUUGGUAAUUUAUAGGACUGACACAAAGGAAUGACUUGAUAAUUUAAGGGACUGAAAUUGAUAUCAAUAGAUGAUUAUCAGUGUGGUAUGGUUUGGUUACCAGUUUUUUGCAUCUUGAAGAAGAAUGGUUCUGCCUGAAAGGUUGUGAAUUGGAAAGCUGAAAAUGGGCAUAGGAACAUUGAAAAAAAGCAUGGCUGAUUCAACAGAAAGAAGUUUAGAUUCCCUUCAUUCAUGUAAAGAGAAUGCCUGUUAGAAACAAAUUGGGGGGGAGAAGGAUUCAUAUUGUUAUCAUUACUGCCGCAAUCUGGAGUGGAUGCUGUGUAUAUUAUUAUUAUUUUUAAAAGUACCGUUGUGCAUGCCAAAAUCUUAUGCUGUCACAGAAUAAGUUUUUGCUAGUUUCUGAUGGUGGAGCUCUUCUGGUUUUUGCCUUUAUUUUGCCUGAUCUGGUACAUUGAGAAUAAUUACUUUCUUUUGAAUGUGAUGCAAUUGUAAGUUCUUUUUGUUUCAAAAUGAUAAAUUUAGGUUGUGGGAUGCCUCAUUGAGCA